rnacentral:rRNA from 1 species
UACGGGGGGGGGAAGCGUUGUUCGGAAUUACUGGGCGUAAAGGGCUCGUAGGCGGCCAACUAAGUCAGACGUGAAAUCCCUCGGCUUAACCGGGGAACUGCGUCCGAUACUGGUUGGCUUGAGUUUGGGAGAGGGAUGCGGAAUUCCAGGUGUAGCGGUGAAAUGCGUAGAUAUCUGGAGGAACACCGGUGGCGAAGGCGGCAUCCUGGACCAAUACUGACGCUGAGGAGCGAAAGCCAGGGGAGCAAACGGG